AAAAAAAAAAAAAAAAAAAAACCAAACCCCCCUUUUUUUUCAUUUUCCUUUCUGUUUUUCACCCUUUUCUAGCGAAAAUUUGGAGAGGAGGGUAGGUAGCCACUGACUUGCUACAUCUUAACAACCUUCACCACCACCACCACCACCACCAAUUUAUACCAACUGCCCAAACCUCACUACCCACCAAUCCCAAUCAUUUCCUUUUCCUCUUCUUCUUCUCUUGGCACUGAAUUCGAUACUUGUUCAAUGGCUUCUUCUUCUCUUUCAUCCAAGCCUUUCCUUGGGGCUUACCGGCUUGAUGGGU
rnacentral:misc_RNA from 1 species